CAAACAUCCAUGUCUAAUAUGCUGUGAUCAUUCUGAAUGUCAAUUCAUCCAAUAUAAAACAUGAAUAAUAUACUCUCUACUUUUCUUGUCUUUCACUGAAGGAAUCUUAGAGACAAAACUGAGAGCACAAUGCAGUGCUAGUUUCACAGACUAGUGACCAUCUGUAAUUGUGGGCAGCAGGUAAGGGGUGACAGCAAGGUAGUAUCAAACACUAAAACCAAAGGAAGGCUGCCUUUGAGGAUACAAUUAGGAAGAGCCACAAUGUAAUGAAUAGAACCAGCCAUCUGCAGAAAUGAUUCUCUUUGAGAAUGAAGAGAAUGCUGGAGAGGAAGAGUGACUGGAGUAUAAUAAAAACUAAGCAAUUCCAAGGAAUGUUCAUUUGUUCAUUCAAUUUGAUUCUUUAGAACCACUAUGGAUCUAACGGUAAAGCACAGAGUUCUUCCUGUGAAAAGUGUAUAGUCUGGUGGUAUGGAUAAGAAGUAAAACAAUUAACAAGAGAAGAAAAGUGGCAUCCAAUUUUCUUUUCGUUUUUUGUUUUUGAGCCAGAGUCUUCCUCUGUUGCCCAGUGGGAGUGCAGUGAUAGGAUCGAGGCUCACUGCAGCCUUGACUUCCCAGGCUCAAGUGAUCCUCCUACUUCAGCCUCUCCAGUAGCUGAGACUACAGGCUUGCACCACCAUGCCUGGCUAAUUUUUUCUAUUUUGUAGAGAUGGAGUCUUGCCAUGUUGCCCAGGCUUGUCUCAAACUCCUGGGCUCAAGCAAUCCUCCGGCCUCGGCCUCACAAAGUCCUGAGAUUACAGGUUGUGAGCCACCAUGCCUGGUCUUCUUUUAGAACAAAGUAAGCUAAAAAAUAAAUGCUCGUGUUUACCUAGUACUAUCCAGGGGAGAGAAAGGCCUGCAUAAGCGUGGCAAUUAGCAAAGAAGUGGACACUGCUGUGGGGCAGGGAGUUCCAUUAGGCUGUGCCACAUGGCCACCUACAUCCCUUCACUCAUGGCCCAUCCUCUUUUUUUUGAGACGGAGUCUCUUGCUCUGUUGCCCAGGUUGUAGUGCAGUAGCAUGAUUUUGGCUCACUGCAACCUCUACCUUCCAGGUUGAAGUAAUCCUCUUGCCUCAGCCUCCUGAGUAGCUGGGACUACAGGUACAUGCCACCACACCUGGCUAACAUUUUUUUUUUUCUGUUUUCAGUAGAGACGGGGUUUCACCAUGUUGGCCAGGAUGGUCUCGAUCUCCUGCCCUUGUGAUCCGCCUGCUUCAGCCUCCCGAAGUGCGGGAAUUACAGGUGUGAGCCACCAUGCCCAGCCAUCAAGGCUCAUCCUCACCAAGUUAGCUUUCAAU
rnacentral:antisense_RNA from 1 species